rnacentral:rRNA from 11 species
CGUGCCAGCAGCCGCGGUAAUACGUAGGGUGCAAGCGUUGUCCGGAAUUAUUGGGCGUAAAGAGCUCGUAGGUGGUUUGUCGCGUCGUCUGUGAAAUUCCGGGGCUUAACUCCGGGCGUGCAGGCGAUACGGGCUGACUUGAGUGCUGUAGGGGAGACUGGAAUUCCUGGUGUAGCGGUGAAAUGCGCAGAUAUCAGGAGGAACACCAAUGGCGAAGGCAGAUCUCUGGGCCGUAACUGACGCUGAGGAGCGAAAGCGUGGGGAGCAAACAGG